UAACAAGAUGCUUGAAGGAUCAUGUUUUUCUCACUGACCUGUUUUAUUUUUAUUGUCAGUUGACAACAAUAUUGUCAGUUGUUUUCCUUAAAGGAACAGGUUAAUAUUCAAUAAAGCACAUGUGAAAUACCCAACUCCAAAGGGUGGUUUGUUAAAACCCAGUUCUCCUUUGAAACAAAAAGUGUCCCUUGGGAAAGCUUAACUCACAAUUCAAACAACUUCACAAGACCUUUCCCUGGAAACAACCCUGUUCUUCCUUCAAUGUGUGGCUGAAGAGCUCUGGGUACAUGCUGUGUUGUGACUGAAGACCAAGGAGGUACACACCAUGGUCAACAUCAACGGCGAGAGUGUGUGUUGAAGAAUCCAGUGAAUAAAAACAACUGUACUUUGGUUCCACCAUCUUAAUUUGUGCCAAGGCUCUAGCAAUUUUACCCACAGUUGCUUUUGCAACAUCAGGGUCAAUGCCAAUGGAGUGGAAACAUAUUAAUAAGGUUUUAAUGGUAUUACGACAGUAAUUGUGAUCUUCGGCACCUGCUUUAUGUGUGUCGGGGACCCUCAGAGGUUCACUCUUGAGAAUUGGCCUUCCAAGUUUUUCCAUCCUCACCUCACUUGAGAAAGUCAAAUGUUUUGUUGAGGCUGCACAAUACAUAUUAAGCUUAGCUUACAAAUUAUGUCUGAUCAACAGGAAAACUAAGUUGGCAUGGAUAACACGUUGUGCAGAUGUAACGUGGGAAGUGACACUGGGAUGACAUCUAGGUCACACUUCUUGGAUGUCUCUCUGCUGGCUGCCCAUGCAUCUCACUAAAGAUAUAGUCUUAAUAAUUAGAUAAUUAUACAGUACACAUUAUUGUAAAUAGAAGAUUUGCAAGAUCUAGAAUGAAAAUAUAUAUAAAUACAUUGAAAAAAUUCUGGAAGUCAGUGUAUCAAACUGCGAACAGUGCUUUAGAGGAAGAGAGAAACUUCAUAGGUGAAGAAAAAGAGAUGCUUUCUUUGUAUUCUUUUGUUGUUGCUGCUGUUCUUGUCUGGAAUUAUAAUCUGAUAAAAUAUACUUUGGGCAAUUAAAAAAAUGUGGUUCUCUAAAACCUAAGAUAAAUGCACAGAAAUUGAGAUGUGCCUGCAAGGGUUGAUCCUUCACUUGCUGUGUUUCUUUGGGAGAGUUGCUUGUCCUAUCUGUGCCUAUUUCCUAAUGUAUUUGUUGAGGAUUUUUGACUAUAUAGGAUACCUAUCAUUCUAUUAAAUGAUUGUCCUGAGGUAUGAAUCUGGGGCAGAAAACCAAGAAAAUAUAUAAAAGGUGGGGAAUUUGCAUUCAAAUUCUCCAUCUAAACUUUUUGCCAAAGGAUAGUGGGUACCUUCAAUCUAAAUUUAGAAAGAAAAAUCAUUUUUGGAAAUAAUUUCAAUAAGUGUUUUUUUUUUAAAGACUCUCAACAUGCUUGUGCUAAACCAGCAUUUCCAGCCAUAAUUACUGGUAGCAGUUUUUUAAAGUGCUAAGUAUUUCCGUUAAAAAGUAGUCUGUUUCUAGCUAUCAAGUGUUUUGAAAAUGGAGAUAUCUUCAGAGAGGUUAGUACAAGAGAAUGAUUACAUCGCAGGAGAAAUGCUCUGGGUAAACGAGGCUGAAAACUUGCAGGUCCAAAUUUGAAAUUAAAAUGUUUAAACAGCAAGCAAUGAACUGUAGGAAGUUCAAACACUAGUGUGGAAUAUAAUUAUGAUCUUCAGAAAAUGAAAAUGCUCGUCAACUUCUGAGUGAUGUUUCACUGAUGCUGAAACAUACCUGACUCCAUUAUGAAGUGUAAUUACUACAGAAAGCUCUCAAAAUACUGCCAUUUAAACAAAUUAUCUCCACGAGUAAUUAAAAAUACUUUCUUCACACAGAUUAUAAAUGCGUUGUUAUGAUGCUGUCACGCCCCAUUCUUGCAUCGUUAUUCAAAUAAACGUAACUGAAAGAUGAAUGGCUGAACCAGAUUGACUUGACUUUCUCCUUGACUAUCAUCCUCAAAGAUCAACCCAUUUAAUAUGAUUAUUAUGAUGCUACAUCGUGUGGGAAAAAAUGCACUAGUUUCUAUACUGCCACAAACUCAAAAGUGGUGAGAUUUCUGUGAUAAAACAAAUAAAACAGCAAAAACUGCAGCUUUUACCUUCCGGCAUUAGGAACUUACUAGAAAAGAGGAUGGUCUUUGGAUAUCAGUAUGCUCACCCAUCCAAGGGAAAGAGAAAAAGUAUGUUCCCUUGGCUGCCAGAAGAGCUAUGUUCUGAUCUUGGCUCAUGGUCAUGCCUGGGUAGCCCUGAGCCUGGUGCUCUGUCCCUGAAACAACAGCUUCAAAUAGAUGAUAUUUACAUUUUUAUAUAUAGUCCUAAGAAUUAACUCUAUUUGUGGGGGGGGUCAGAAAAAAAUCUCAAAAUUAAAAAAAAAAAAA
ensembl:lncRNA